rnacentral:rRNA from 2 species
UYCUACGGGAGGCAGCAGUGGGGAAUAUUGCACAAUGGGCGCAAGCCUGAUGCAGCCAUGCCGCGUGUAUGAAGAAGSCCUUCGGGUUGUAAAGUACUUUCAGCGGGGAGGAAGGYGWURAGGUUAAUAACCUYRKCRAUUGACGUUACCCGCAGAAGAAGCACCGGCUAACUCCGUGCCAGCAGCCGCGGUAAUACGGAGGGUGCAAGCGUUAAUCGGAAUUACUGGGCGUAAAGCGCACGCAGGCGGUCUGUCAAGUCGGAUGUGAAAUCCCCGGGCUCAACCUGGGAACUGCAUUCGAAACUGGCAGGCUAGAGUCUUGUAGAGGGGGGUAGAAUUCCAGGUGUAGCGGUGAAAUGCGUAGAGAUCUGGAGGAA